rnacentral:lncRNA from 1 species
ACCAAUCAACUACCCUAAUUGAUCACAUUUGAGAAGUCUAUAUUUUAAUAAUUUGCAGUUUCAUAAUACAUUUAUAUAUUUCAAAAAUAUAACCAACAUAUUAGUUAGAAAUAUUAUAUUUGUUACUAUUGAUAUGAUUUGACAAUCAAAACUUUACUGGGUUAAAUAAUAUUUACUUAGCUAAGAACUCACAAAGAUGAAUGACGGGAAACAACCUUUACCUGGAAUUUACUGCUUUUGGUAUUCAAAUAAGAUAUGUUUCAAGUAUUAACUGUGGUCUUCUCUUCCCUCGCAGGCUUGGAAAAGCACCAGAUAGGAAGGGAAGAAGCUCAGGAUCUGGGUUUAGGUUCUAACUCUGAACUUACCAUCUAUAUGAUGUCAGCUAAGUAGACCAUUUUGUGAUUCUGAGCUUCAGUUUUUCUCAUCCACUAAAUGGGGAAAAAAAACUGCUUUACAGAGUUCUAAGGAUUAAAUGGGACAUCUUCUAUGAAAAUGCCUGGUACAAGGGAGGCCCUCAAGAAGGUCUGUCAUCCCUUACACUGAAUCAGGACUGGCGUAGUGUGACCUGUGGAAUACAGUAGAAGUAAAGAUGUG